GCGCCCGAUCUCGUCUGAUCUCGGAAGCUAA
ensembl:rRNA 5S_rRNA 5S ribosomal RNA